GCUAAUUUAAUAGAGCGUCGCAAUGACUCUCGGCAACGGAUAUCUCGGCUCUCGCAUCGAUGAAGAACGUAGCGAAAUGCGAUACUUGGUGUGAAUUGCAGAAUCCCGUGAACCAUCGAGUCUUUGAACGCAAGUUGCGCCCGAAGCCUUUCGGCCGAGGGCACGUCUGCCUGGGCGU
rnacentral:rRNA from 1 species